GCCAGAUCACAUGCGAUCACCGAAGUUAAGCAACGUCGAACCUGGUCAGUGACUAGAUGGGUGACCUUUUGGGAAGGCUAGGUGGUGUAA